AUUGAACGCUGGCGGCAGGCUUAACACAUGCAAGUCGAGAGGGGUGAUGGUGCUUGCACUAUCACUUAGCGGCGGACGGGUGCGUAAUGCUUAGGAAUCUGCCAAUUAGUGGGGGACAACAUCCCGAAAGGGAUGCUAAUACCGCAUACGUCCUACGGGAGAAAGCAGGGGAUCACUUGUGACCUUGCGCUAAUAGAUGAGCCUAAUGCGGUUUAGCUAGUUGGCGGGGUAAAGGCCAACCAAGGGGACGAUCUGUAGCGGGUCUGAGAGGAUGAUCCGCCACACUGGGACGGAGACGCGGACCAGACUCCUACGGGAGGCAGCAGUGGGGAAUAUUGGACAAUGGGGGGAACCCUGAUCCAGCCAUGCCGCGUGUGUGAUGAAGGCCUUAUGGUUGUAAAGCACUUUAAGCGAGGAGGAGGCUCUUUUGGUUAAUACCCAAGAUGAGUGGACGUUACUCGCAGAAUAAGCACCGGCUAACUCUGUGCCAGCCGCCGCAGUAA
rnacentral:rRNA from 1 species